AUGCUCCGAAAGCAGGGAAUACUUGGCAGUAUGAUGGUCGCCGUGAAGAGGCUGUCCAAACCUUAUUUGAAUGAAACAAAAUUUCACCUAGAGGUUCAAUGCCUGAUGCGGGUAAAACACAAACAUAUAGUAAGAUUUUGGGGAUAUUGUGCUGACACACAAGGAAAUAUAAAACAGUUCAAUGGAGAGCUUGUCCGGGUAGAUGUACGACAAAGAUUGCUUUGCUUCGAGUAUAUACCUAAAGGGAGUCUUGAUGUGUAUAUCAUCGGUACGACCAUGUGGCCUCAAACUUGUAUCUUUAUUUUCUUCAUUCAUAUAAAAUUGCAUAAUGUGUCAUAUAACAUGUCGUAUUCAAAAAUUAAGACACCAAGUAUCUCAAUUAUAAACUUGGUUUCUCCUCUCCCCUUGAUAGAUGGACACUGUGAGUGGGAAACGUGCUAUAAAAUAAUCAAUGGGAUAUGUGAGGGUCUACAAUACCUUCAUGACAAUCGUAUUCUUCACUUGGAUCUGAAACCUGCCAAUAUACUGCUCGACGAUGAGAUGGUACCAAAAAUAACUGAUUUUGGUUUGUCAAGACGCCUAGAGGAAAAUCAAAGCCGAGUUCUUACCAAAACUAUACCAGGAACAGUGGGAUAUUUGGCACCAGAACGUUAUGAAGGGAGUGGAAUCACACGUAGCGGUGACUUGUAUAGUCUUGGGGUUAUUAUCAAAGAAAUAAUGACCGGAGACAAGAGGAAUCAAACUACUGAGGAUGUACUUGAAAGUUGGAGUGAUAGGUUGGAGAGAACACAACGAGAAACACUAUGCAAACAUAUACGUGUAUGCUAUGAGAUAGCUUUAGAAUGUACUGACUUCAGUCCAGAGAAGAGACCAGCUAGUGCACAAAAUAUAAUUGAUAGGCUUCAUGAAAUGGGAAGUAACCAGGUAUGUUCCAAAAUUGAGAGUUUAUGUAUUUCUUUCCAUGAUUCCAAGUUGCUACGUAUACCAGUAGGAUUCUUGCACCAGAACCACAUUGAGCUGCUAGAGUAUAGGUUGAGGUUCUAA
rnacentral:rRNA from 1 species